rnacentral:lncRNA from 1 species
AUCCAUAAAAGACCUUUUGAUUUGAACAUGCAUAUGUUUUGAGUGUUGAUAUUAGAGGCUUGCCAAGUCUGUUUGUUGCUUGUUUUCUUGAGUGCAUUGAGUUGACAUUGUUUACCUUAGACACUUGAGAGAAACACUAAUGGGGUAUUGAUUUUGUUGUUGUUACAAGGCAUUUUGGAAGUUGAAGAUUUUUAUUGUUGGGGU